rnacentral:rRNA from 1 species
UUGCGGCGUGCUUAACACAUGCAAGUCGAACGGAAAGGCCCUGCUUUUGUGGGGUGCUCGAGUGGCGAACGGGUGAGUAACACGUGAGUAACCUGCCCUUGACUUUGGGAUAACUUCAGGAAACUGGGGCUAAUACCGGAUAGGAGCUCCUGCUGCAUGGUGGGGGUUGGAAAGUUUCGGCGGUUGGGGAUGGACUCGCGGCUUAUCAGCUUGUUGGUGGGGUAGUGGCUUACCAAGGCUUUGACGGGUAGCCGGCCUGAGAGGGUGACCGGCCACAUUGGGACUGAGAUACGGCCCAGACUCCUACGGGAGGCAGCAGUGGGGAAUAUUGCACGAUGGGCGGAAGCCUGAUGCAGCAACGCCGCGUGCGGGAUGACGGCCUUCGGGUUGUAAACCGCUUUCGCCUGUGACGAAGCGUGAGUGACGGUAAUGGGUAAAGAAGCACCGGCUAACUACGUGCCAGCAGCCGCGGUGAUACGUAGGGUGCGAGCGUUGUCCGGAUUUAUUGGGCGUAAAGGGCUCGUAGGUGGUUGAUCGCGUCGGAAGUGUAAUCUUGGGGCUUAACCCUGAGCGUGCUUUCGAUACGGGUUGACUUGAGGAAGGUAGGGGAGAAUGGAAUUCCUGGUGGAGCGGUGGAAUGCGCAGAUAUCAGGAGGAACACCAGUGGCGAAGGCGGUUCUCUGGGCCUUUCCUGACGCUGAGGAGCGAAAGCGUGGGGAGCGAACAGGCUUAGAUACCCUGGUAGUCCACGCUGUAAACGGUGGGUACUAGGUGUGGGGUCCAUUCCACGGGUUCCGUGCCGUAGCUAACGCUUUAAGUACCCCGCCUGGGGAGUACGGCCGCAAGGCUAAAACUCAAAGGAAUUGACGGGGCCCCGCACAAGCGGCGGAGCAUGCGGAUUAAUUCGAUGCAACGCGUAGAACCUUACCUGGGUUUGACAUGGAUCGGGAGUGCUCAGAGAUGGGUGUGCCUCUUUUGGGGUCGGUUCACAGGUGGUGCAUGGCUGUCGUCAGCUCGUGUCGUGAGAUGUUGGGUUAAGUCCCGCAACGAGCGCAACCCUUGUUCACUGUUGCCAACACGUUAUGGUGGGGACUCAGUGGAGACCGCCGGGGUCAACUCGGAGGAAGGUGGGGAUGACGUCAAGUCAUCAUGCCCCUUAUGUCCAGGGCUUCACGCAUGCUACAAUGGCUGGUACAGAGAGUGGCGAGCCUGUGAGGGUGAGCGAAUCUCGGAAAGCCGGUCUCAGUUCGGAUUGGGGUCUGCAACUCGACCUCAUGAAGUCGGAGUCGCUAGUAAUCGCAGAUCAGCAACGCUGCGGUGAAUACGUUCCCGGGGCUUGUACACACCGCCCGUCAAGUCAUGAAAGUUGGUAACACCCGAAGCCGGUGGCCUAACCGUUGUGGGGGAGCCGUCGAAGGUGGGACUGGUGAUUAGGAC